rnacentral:lncRNA from 1 species
AGGCAGAACACAGCCACAGCACCAGUGUUCCCACCAUGGCCUGCUAGAGUUUGUGCACAGCUGGACUCCCAGCAGCAUGGUGCUGGGCCUUGGCUUGCACUACAGGCCCAGCAUCCUCCUCCUCAGGGCUUGACAGCCACUGCAUGAUCCAGAACACCCUGAGGGUCAGGAAACCUGGCACUCUGCAGACCUAAGAAGUUGCUUCCAACAGAAUUCAGAAAGGCCAGGUCUACCAAGCAGUCAGACUGCAGGAGGCUUCUGUGUUCCUCAAGAAAUUCUUCCUCCUCCUUUCCUGAGAACUACAAAACUUGCAUCGCUUGCAUAUGUCAGUGAAAAAAUUAAAGCCUGCACUGGGGAUAUGGCACAGCAUCUCUGCAUGUUUCUUUUGGCAGGUGUACUCUACAGUUCAUUAGGGAGAUGCAUACAAGGCAAGCUGGUUCAAGAGGAGUCAGGAAGCCCAACACACCAAACCAAUGAGAAGCCUAUCAGAGGCCUGAUACCAGAAUCACUAGGAGCAUUUUCUUUCCCAAAUGCAAUGCUCCAAAGCAGCUGAUACCAUUUGCUCUUUUCUAGGAGUACUACAUAUAUAAAAAGUUAACAACCUUAUUUCUUCCUUGCUGUUGUCCCUAUCUCCAAGCAACCCCAGUAACCCUCAAUAAUUCAAUGACUAUAAGCAUCACUUCCACCUACAGAAACACAGGAAAAGCUAGGCAGAGGUCACCCUUUCCUUUUGUUUUCAGGAUUAGAAAUGUUUAGUCUAGAGUGACACAGAGUUGGUAAGUGACAGAACUUAAGGUCUGCUUCCCAAAGAGGAAAAACCAGGGCUGCUGGAGGAUGUGCUUUCCGCUCCCUAAAGCAAGAUUUAAAAAUCUCUCUAUUGAUCCAACAGUUAACCAGCAAAUAUUACACUCUACACUCUAAGGAGGUGAUUUAUAAGAGACCUAAAGAAACUAUAAAAGGAAAUAAUACCAUGACCUAUUGCUUAACACUGGCAAGUCAACACACAUAAUACUUCUUUAAAGCCCUGGUUCAUUCAAUUCCUGACAGUCACCCUUAUUAAGUGGCUGAAGACUUCAUGUACAAACUAGAUUUUCAUUCCCCACCGCUAUCCCUUAAUACCUGUCCAGAUAUAAUACUCCUUUUGUGCUAGCAUUUUAAUUGAAUACUAAAAAAUAAUAGUUCACUGAAUGCAAGAUUUACUGUAACAUAAAAAUAAAAUGACAAUAAAGUCAUACA